rnacentral:lncRNA from 1 species
CCCCUCUGAGUGUCUCCUCCUCUCAGUAUCUCUGGGGCCCUGUCCCCAUGUGGAUCUCUCUCAUCCUGGGAUGCUGAAGUGGAAAAGGACCUGGCUGCCACGGUGGAUGAGGGUGUCGAGGAGGGUUCCAGGCCAGCGUGCCUGCCUCGCCUCCAGCCCGGGGAUGGGCCUCCAGCGCUUUCCAGGCUAACUCAGCGAGCCCAGUCUUCUUAGUCAACUGAGAGACAUGUCUACAGAACAGACCAUGUGGCCAACUCCUCCUCCUCCCCAUGCCCCAGGCAAGAGGACUCUGGGAAGACAUCCAGGAAGCAAGGAGUCUGUAGCCAGCUGCCUUCAGAAGCCCAAGGUCAUUGGCCCUGCCACUCUGGUUUGCCAACUCCUCAAGGACCACAUAGGCCCAACUGUUAUGGAAAGGGUGGACCAGAGAGAGGGGCUUCUUUUCCUUCGGCUUUGGGGAAGGCAAAGGCAAUUCCUGCCACUGCCCACUCCAGAGACGGCCGCAUCUUCCAGGUGACUAAAGCCCCCACCCCCACCCCCAGACUGGAGAGAAGAAAAGGAAUUGGAGGAGAAGGAAUGGGAUAAGGGUGGGGGUUUUCUGAGACCCACAUUCUCUCUGACAUGCCCACUGAGCCUCCCCACAGGAAAACAGGCACCAGGGAGCCAGCACCAAAAUUAAAACAAUAACUAAGCCCGAAGUGGACCCAGCAGCCCCCACUCCCACCCCAAGGGAGGGGAAAAAAGCCACAAAAACACCUGGAGAGGAGAAUAAUCACUGGAAGGGGAGGGGGUGACCCACUCCCAUGCCAGCACCCUUCACCUGCCUUAACCCUUUGUUCCCUGGACAGUAACCAAGGUUUCCCCAUUUCAUCCCUCCCACCCAGUCCCAUAAAGAAGCGGCAGCUUCUGGCAGCUGCUCAGUCAUUUGGUGCAAUGGGAUUUGAAUAAACAAACCGGGGACAGUGAGGUCCCCAGAAGUCCAUAGUCAAGGGCUAAGACCCCUAGAGGCUUUCAGUCCUGCCA